GGAGGUAUAGCUCAGGGGUAGAGCACUUGCCCAGCAUGCAAAAGGCCAUGAGUUUGAUCCUUAAUACCACAA
rfam:Ictidomys tridecemlineatus contig057174, whole genome shotgun sequence.